CUGCCCUGCCGCAUUCAGGGAGGUGUCACAUUUCUGUUCCAGUGAACAGCCCUGGUCCUCCUGAGCUGGAAUGUGAGGAAUUCCCAGGCUCCCGAGGGCAGCCACCUUGGAAGAGGUGCCGACACCUGCAAGCCCGGCAUCUCCACCUACCACUGUGUGAGUCUCGCGGAAGAAGAGUGGGGAGAAUUGGGGACCAACUGUAAACCUUGGGAUCAAGAAUGACAUUUCACGAAAUGGCACAGAACACGUCUGUGACUCACAUGGCACGGGUGAGGACCUGAGUCCGGGACAGAGGGCAAGGCGGGCAUCUUGGUUUGGCAGGCCACGAAGGAGCCUGUGGUUACACAGCUAUUUUGGACCCAUGGUUAGCAGCGUUCACAGAUUUAGAAGGUGAACAGCUGUCACUCAGGAGGUGUCUAAAACAGGGUGUUAGCAGACACUGGAGAUCACGAGAAGAAAACUGAAAAGUACAGAGACAAGACUUUGAAAACAAAGCCAUGCACGUGGCAGUGACAGCUACCUGCCCAAUAAGGACUGGGUUCCCCUGCCUGGGUGCAGAGAUGUUGCUGGCAAGUGGCUGCCCAGCUCUGUGCCAUUGGCUACCCCUCUGCCCCCGCCUGUGACUGAAUUCUGGUCAAGAGGAAGUGGGCAGAGUGCUAUAUGCCCUUCCAGAUCUGGCCCACACAUCCCCCUUUCCCCUCCACACCUCUCUCUUCCCUUUUCUGCAGCUGCCUUUGCUGUCCAGGCAACGGAAGCCCUAAAUUGAAGAUGGAGGAGCCUCCGUGAGCCCGGGUCCCCAGCCACACCAGAAAUGAACAAAACAGAGCCUUCUCCUUUGUUCUCCUCUCCAGAGGAUUAGACUUACCAGAAUGAGAAUCGAAGUCUGCAGUUAGACCACCGAGACAUGAGAGUUGAUCUGUUACGGUCCAUUAGUUAGCAGUCGGUUGAUCAUGAAAACAUUUUUUAUUGCUGAAGAUGAUUGACAGACAAUCAAAGGUCUCAGCACACCGUGAGGUAUCAGUGCACAAGCGAGGUGUCACAGGUGGUAGUGAAGGAACAGAAGACUAAGAGGUCCGCUCAUUCUCUCACACCCAAGGCGUUUGACUUAGAGUGUUUGCUGAUGACUACAUUAGUUCAUGAAACAUGAACAGAAUACAGAUAUUUCCCAGAAACCAAGGUGGGAAUGGACAGCUGAGUUAGAAUAACUAAUGAUGGCCAUACUUGGUGACACUCGGUGGCAUGCCCUCAGUUCUCAGCCGAUGUCCCUGUGGUGGCUGUGCUUCUAUGUACUCCUUCCCACCGACAGUGAGUCCCCCCUCUUUCUAGUGGAAAGGACUUGCCUAUACCCUGAUGAAUGCCACCUCUCUGGGUGGCCUCCCUCCUGCUAAUCCCACAGAGCCUGAGGAAAGGGAAUCCCUCCCCUAGGAUCUAGUUGUCCUCCCGUAACAAGGACUUAGACCCUUCACGUUGGCCCGUGAAUGUCCUGUCUAAAGCAGGAUCAAGGACUUGGCAUCUCUGCUUCCCGGUUGUGUCCACCUCCUUUGCUCUGAGUCCCCUCAAAUUCCAGGAAUAACAGGCCUGAUCAUAAACGUCUUGUGAUGAGCGGAAGCCACCCCUAGGCAAUGGUAACUUUCCUACUGGUGACAAGACCCCUCCUGACAAAGCCUGAGAAAGUGAUGGACAGCCCACACCUGGCCAAGCUCACCUGGCUUGGCAGCUGUGAGAAGCCUCGGGCUGCGCACACCCCCACCCCUUGCCCUUGUUCCCCUUCCUAUAAAACCUGAGCAUCAUUGUCUGCCUCCCAAAGACAGGGCUGAGGAGGUGGGUGCCUGGCCUCCGGGUGCAGCCGCCCUGCUGAGAGUUCCUUUCCUGAUUUUACCGUGAGCUUCUCUGUCCUUGGGGGUGAGUGGUUGGACCUGAUUUGGUGGAUCCCCGGAGUCAGCCCUCUGGCCUGGGGCUCCUGGUUCUGAGGGCAGGCUGCGAUAUUGCAGUAGCAACAGAUGAAGCACCCACUGAGGCUGUGUCCACGCUUUGAACUCAUUUGCAGCGGAGAGGAUGGGCUGUGAACCCCGAAGGGCAGGCCUCUGGCUUACCAGAGAAAUCCUUGGGUGUUGUCUGAUCGGGUAAGACAAAGGCCAUGAGAGAGUUCAGGUGUCCCCACUUCCCAACACAGUGACGCAACCUCAAGAAUGAGUGACUUCUGGGUCACUGCAGGGCUUACAUUCUGCAUCUGGCUAUCAUGACCCCUGUACAAUCCGUGUCGGAGACCGUGUGGGACUGGACCGACCGACCGCCAUACCGAGAUAUUUAGUCAGGACAAAUGAAAGACCAAACAGGCACAAGCCCUUGGAGCACCAGCACAUUGAAGUCUGCUGAUUUUACCAUCCAUGUCACCGGAUGGCUCUGGAUGAGGCUUAUGGCAGUGAAUUAAGGGACAUAAGACCCCCUUUGGAUUUUGGUCAUUCAUGAAAGGAGGUGGAGGGAUGUCUUAGCUCUUUGGAAAAACAACUGUGUGCUGUUCUUCCUGCCACGGAGCCACCACCAGGGACCCUCCAGCAGUGGAUGGCUACAGCAAUGAACAAAGCCCCACCACUGGGGUGGCUCAGAUGGUGGCCACUGUGAAAUGGGGUGAGUACUGUGGACAGUGAGGAAUGGACAAUACCUUGCCUCUCGGUUUAAAACUUCAACAGUUACUAGGACAGGUCAUGUAUGUUACUGGGACAGGUCGCAGAGAAAGAUGAAACACCAGAAGGCCAACCUCCAACACCUGAGUCAGCCUGGCACACUGACAGAUCAUCAAAGGGAAACCCCCCCAGGGUGGAGAGUCAUAGCCUAUCACCCAGUGACUGAGGCCCGGUGGAUCAAUAAAGGACAAGGACACAGCAGCCCCUGGGCUGAACUGUGAGUGGUAUGGGGGUUACUGCUUGGGAAGGUGAGCAUUAAGAAUCUGCACUAACCACUGGGCCAUAUUCGGAGGACUUACAGUGUGGCUGCCUCAAGGGCAACAGGAGUGGAUGAUUGACGGCAGGCCUACUUGGGGAAAAACAGUUACGGGAAGACAUUUGGCAUUGUGUCCAAGCCACAGUCAUCGCAGCGUACCACGUGACUGCCCGUUGCCCUCUCCAAUUUCUAGGUAAUGACAAGGCAGACCAAUUGGCAAAGUUAAGAUGGCAGGAGGAAGUGCUAGCAGAGGAAAAUGCCACUUGGCUACAUUCUAGAUUAAAGCAUGCCAGCCACAGGGCUGUGUGGGCAGGUGAGACACGGUGGUGGCUGCCCAUGGUUUUCUUUUCUGUGUGUGUAGUGGUGCUGGGGACAGAACCUGGGACCCACACACAUGCUUGGCAAGUGCUUUCCUACUGAGCUACAUCCCCAGCUCUGCCCAUAAAGAUUUCUGAUGCUGUUGCAUGCUGGAACCGUGCUCAGUGCUGCCCAUGAUGACCGAUGCUGCCGCAGAGCUGAUAGAGGAGCGGAUGUUCGUCUUCAGUGCUGGGAGACAGACUGCACUCGUCCCCUCCCAUUCUCAGAAGGGGCCGAACAAGCUGUGACCUGUGUGGACACAGUUACAGACUUAUUGUAGGCCUUCCCCGGCAAGAGUGUUACAUAUGGUCACUGAGAGUGACAAAGGAAUCCAUUUCAUAGGCCAUGACACAGCAGUGGGCUCAAGACCAGGACCAAAUCCACAGCCUGGAUUUCCCACCUGCCAUACAAUCCAACAGGAGCUGGAUGAACUGAAAGAGUGAAUGUCCGCUGGACACGCCUAAGGACUGAGAGUGACUAUUCGGCUACUCGUCUGCCUGAGGCACUGAGGACACUGAAUGAAAAGCCAAGCAUCAGCAGAUUGCAGUCCUUUCUAUAUCGACAUGCCAUGGCUGCCAGCAUUAAGGUUAUGGAUAAAACACUGCCACUCAGGGCUGGGGCUGAGCAUUUCCUUAAACCAGCCUGGACCACAGGUAGCAGUUUACUGUUGCCAGCUCCUCAAGACUUCACAUCUGACACCAGAAGCAUUGUUUGGCCAUGGCGUCAGUCCCUGGUGGUUUGCCUUACUGACCUCUUGGGGAUAAAGGGAAUGUCCACACUUACAAGUGAAGCCUACUGUGUUGGGAACAUGGCCCCUAAAGCCAUGUGAUAGGCUUUAGGUGAUGUCACCCUUGGGUAUCCUCACCAGAGGAAUACUUUGUAUCAGUUUAUGGCAAUUAUUUUAUUUCUUUGGUACUGGGGAUUGAAUCCAGAGAUGCUUUACCACCGAGUUCCAUCUCCGGUCCCUUUUGUUGUAUUGUUUUGGAGACAGGGUCUCCCUAAGUUGCUGGCUUUGAACUUGUGAUCCUCCUGCCUCAGCCUCCUGAGUCCCUGGGAUUAGAGGCGUUUGCCACCACAGCUGGCUAGUUUGACGGUUUGAAAGUGGUUUAUUCUCUCUGUCCCCCUAAAAAUUGGUCUGGUACACUUGCCCAGGCAUGCUUUCUAACACAAGAUGGUACAGUGGCCUCAUGGAGUUGAUCUGCCGUUACUGGUGCCUAUUAAACAUCUGUCACGUUCUCCAUAGGUUGGCAACAAGUAACCUGUUUCUGGACUGGGCAACGGAGAUCGCACAUCACGCCAACCAGACCGACUGCUGGAUCUGCUCAGAACUCCCUGUGACUGCAGCACAAGGACUUCCCUGGGUAGUCCAACCUGCGAAUGAGACCCAGUGGACUUGGCUGGCACGGAACUGGAGUGCAAACACGCACCCGCCAAAAUGGCCAUCGUACAACUAUACAACACAAAAGAUCUUUGCUUUGAUUAGGGAGACACUGAAUAUUUCUCGAGUCCCUGGGUACACUUACAUAUGGAAUGGGCUUUCAUGGGAGGUAGCAGUUCAGGUCACAGUUAAAGAGAUGGCUUUCCUUUGUGUCACCCAGUCCGGUCAUGACAACAAGACAGUGGGCUUCAUGCCUGACCCCCUGUGUAAGAACACAGUCAAUUCAGCGGAUAUCCUGUCCCCAUCACCCAAUGUCACUCAUGGGGCCUUCCCCCUGCCGUGGGGUGCACUGUGGAUAUGUGGGUCCUAUGGAUGGCCUUACCUACCUUACCACUGGACAGGACGAUGUACGUGGGGCUGGCCUUACAUCCCCGCCCGGGUUCUGCCUCAUUUACCACAGACACCCAGUAACUGGGAGAGCGUGAAGGCGCGGCACACCAGGCAGCGCCGGGCAUCCUGGUGGUUCUACUCGCUGGCUGUUUUCUCCCCGCAGGCUGCGGUGAUUGACGUGGAAAAUCAGGUCUCCGCGUUAGCCUCCCACACGGCACAAGCUCUCAAUCAGACUAAAAACGCCAUCACCUUGCUAACCGAGGAGACCACUCAGAUAAGAAAGGUGGUGUUACAAAACAGGAUGGCGCUAGAUAUGCUCAUGGCCGCCCAAGGCGGAGUAUGUGCCGUCCUGGGGACAGAAUGCUGUGUGUACAUACCUGAUAACGAGCACAAUAUCACUCUGGCUUUAACCCAAGUGUCUAAGCAAAUGAAUGCCAUCGAUGCCCUUUCCACUGAUCCGUUCUCUAGUUGGCUGACAUCCCUUCCUUCAGCAUGGCGCCAGGCCUUCCAUAUUGUCUUACUAAGCCUGGCAUGCCUGCUGAUAGGCUCUUGCGCUUUGUUCUGCUGUUGUGGGACAUGUAUGCAAUGUGCCUCGGGAGUCCUGUCCCGAAGGCUUCAUGGAAGACAGGGGGUGUGAGAUGGAGCAGGACAUUAAGAGGCUUCCAGAGCACUGAUGGGGUGGACCUAGCCAGAGCCUCGAAAGCUUGUUCAGCACAGUGAGAUAAGAGGGACUCCCACAAAAGUGACAAGGAAGGAAACAGAAGCUGGCCUCUUCCCUUGUUUCCAAUUUUUAGGUGGAUAUCAAAGCAGAGAGGCUUUGGAGGUAAAGAACGUACUUAAAAAAAAAUCUGAAGAAAUCCACCUGUGCAGUGGGCACACGGCCUAACCCGUAUGUUCUCCUGCUGGCAGGUGUGGUGCGGCCCCCUGUUGUACCCCAGCCUGCCCCCCAACACAGAGCAUGUAAGAAAAUGUCCAAACCCUGUCAGUUGAGUCCUCCAAGUUCUUUCUUUGGGAUUGGUACGCUGGGGCUUUUGCUGUCCUGGGGUUGGACACUAGUAAAGCAGGGCCUGGCACAUACUGCUCCUCAUGAAAAGGAAAGGUAGCAUUGCUGUGGCCAGUCGGGGAAUCACAGGUCACAGCCCUUACAUGCUGGGAUCUGGAACAAAUGUCUCUUCCGGAGGUUGAACAGGAACUGGAAUUCAAGCUGCGGGCUUGAGGCACAAGGAGAGGGAAGAAAGCGGGGUGCAGACUCUUCUCAUUUUGCCUACCCUGUCUUUCCUUGACCUGUAGGAUGUGGCGGACCUCAUCCUUCAAGAACAUCUACCUGAGGGCACCUCAGUGCCUGGGGGCCAUGCGAGUUUUCCUACAAUAUGGGGAGGGGGUGCUUUAAGUGGAAUGUGCAGAUUGGGGGUCAAGAUAAUUCUUCAGCUACAAGGUGGUCUUGAGUUAGUCACAGCCUUUUUGAGCCAGUUUUGCCAUCUGUAAAAAGGAGAUGCUAAUGGCUUCUGCUUUGGUCUUAUUCAUGACCUCUGUCAGCACCUGGGGGUGUUGUAAGAUCCUAAGGCUGAGACAGGAGGAGCCUCCCCUCUACCCAGAGCCAGCAACUGCGCAGCGCUUCCUUGGAUCCCAUUCCACACAGGGAAAAGAGUAUGUCUUCCUAAGAGGGCACAUCCUCAUGGGCAGUUGGACAUCCCAGCGGGAAGGAAAAAGAAAUGUCAAGGGAAACAGGUCCUUAGCUCAUGUGGAUCUUUAUAAAAUUGUACAUUUUGGUAUUUCCCCCAUUAUUGAAGUCCUUCAUGGCCAAUAAAAAUUUUAAAAUGUCAAAAAGUAAACAAAAGGGAAAAAAUAAUGUGUGGGACUCCCACCCAGUGAUCUCUGGGCAAAUUUCCUCCUCUCAUUUUUCUUUAUAAGGGUCAGAGUUUAAAAAAUUAUGGUUGGGAUCACAUUGUAUAUUUCUCUUGCUUUAUUUAUGAAAAAAUG